rnacentral:rRNA from 1 species
UGUUAAGACAAGUAGCAAUGAAAAACCUCUCUUCAAUGUUAGUGUAAAUAAUGUUUAACCCUUGAACACAAUGUAGUAACAUCCUAUGAAAACACUAAUAUUCCAACUGUUAACCUUACACCAGUACAUCUCAAGAAAGAUUAAAAGAAAAAGAAGGAACUCGGCAAAUCUCAGCUCCGCCUGUUUACCAAAAACAUCGCCUCUUGCAAUUUAUAAGAGGUCCUGUCUGCCCAGUGAUUCCAUUUAACGGCCGCGGUACCCUGACCGUGCAAAGGUAGCGUAAUCAUUUGUUUUCUAAUUAAAGACCCGAAAAAAAAACCCCACGAGAGCCGUACUGUCUCCUCUCUCCAAUCAGCGAAACUAAUCUCCCCGUUCAAAAGCGGGAAUUAUUCUAUAAGACGAAAAGACCCUGUGGAGCUUAAACAACCUAGCAUUCACCUUAAACAAUAUCUUCCCCGCCGUCUUAGGUGAUAAUGGCUUCUAGUUUUUGGCUGGGGCAGCCAUGGAGAAAAACAAAUCCUCCAAGACGAAUUAGAAUACUCUUAAACCAGUAAACUACAAUUUUAGGUAUCAGAACACUGACGUCAAUUGAUCCUUCUUGAUCAACGAACCUAGUUACCCCAGGGAUAACAGCGCAAUCCUCUUCGAGAGUACAUAUCGACAAUUG